rnacentral:rRNA from 1 species
UGAGUUUGAUCCUGGCUCAGAAGGAAUGCUAGUGACUCGUUUUACACAUGCAAGUUGAAUGGUAUUUUUAAUACCAUGGCGUACGGGUGAGUAAUACCGGUAAGCUACCCUUAGGUGAAGGCUAAUGAGGCUGUGUCCUCAGAAUACCUUGCAAGAGGAAGAUCUUCGGAUCUUUCGCCUUUGGAUGUGAUCCGGCGGCAAUGGAAGUUUCAUGCUAACAUGAACAUUAUUCCAUGCCUAGGGAGCUUGAAAGAGUGAUUCCCCACACUGGGAUUGAGAUACGGCCCAGACUCCUAUGUGAGGCAGCAGUGAAGAAUCAUGGACAAUGGACGAAAGUCUGAUCCUGCGAGGUCACUUGAAGGAAGAAGGUAUUUACUGUAAACUUCUAGUUAACAUUAAAAUGAUGAUUGAUGUUAAUAUUAGUCCCGGCUAACUACGUGCCAGCAGCCGCGGUAAUACGUAGGGGGCAGGCAUUCUUCGGAUUGAUUGGGCGUAAAGGGUUCGUAGGUGGCUUACUGAGCAGCAACUUAAAUGCCUCAAAUUAAGAGGACGGGUUGACUGUAAGUAGGCUUGAAUAAUGGAGAGGUAGAUGGAAUUCUUGGAGUACCGGUGAAAUGGGUCGAUACCAAGAGGAACAACAAAAGCGAAGGCAAUCUACUGGCCAAUUAUUGACACUGAUGGACGAAGGCGUGGGUAGCAAAUCGGAUUAGAGACCCGAGUAGUCCACGCAGUAAACGAUGUGUGUUCUCUGUGUGAUGAUGCCGUUCGCGGCCAUUGCAUGGAUAAGCUAACGCGUUAAACACACCGCCUGCAGAGUAUAGUCGCAAGACCGAAACGCAAAGGAAUAGACGGGGGUCUAUACAGCCCGUGGAGCAUGUUGCUUAAUGCGAUAAUACGCGCAAAACCUUACCAACUCUUGACAACUUGUUUGGAAUAGCCAGUAAUGGUUAAACCGAUUCUUCGGAAUCAGAUGCAAGGACAGAAGAUGCAUGGCUGUCCGCUGUUCGUGCCGUGAGGUGUUGGGUUAAGUCCCUUAACGAACGCAACCCCUAUUCCAUUGCAAAAUGGAAGACCGCUAGAGAUAAUCUGGAGGAAGGUGGGGAGAACGUCAAGUCUCAUGUCUCUUAUGAGUUGGGCUGCAAAUGUGCUACAAUGGAGUGGACAAAGUGUUGGCGACCUUUCAAAAGCAAGCAACUAUACACAAAACCACUUCCCAGUCCGGAUUGAAGGCUGCAACUCGCCUUCAUGAAGUUGGAAUGGGCAGUAAUCGUAGACUAGAGCGCUACGGUGAACCGUUAUCUAGACCUUGUACUUAUUGUCCGUCACGUCUUGGAAGGCUGAGGUAUGUGAAGAUCAACUAAUUUGAUCGAGCUUAUCUUCGCUGAUUGAGAUGAAGUCGUAGCAAAGUAACCGUAUGGGAACAUGCGGUUG